GAUAACCAGUCGAAAGAUUGGCUAAUACCGGAUAAGCCCACGGUCUCUUCGGAGACUGAGGGAAAAGGUGGCCUCUGUAUACAAGCUAUCACAACCAGAUGAGUCCGCGGCCCAUCAGUUUNUUGGCGGGGUNAUGGCCCACCAAGGCAACGACGGGUAGCUGGUCUGAGAGGACGAUCAGCCACACUGGAACUGAGACACGGUCCAGACUCCUACGGGAGGCAGCAGUGGGGAAUUUUGCGCAAUGGGCGAAAGCCUGACGCAGCAACGCCGCGUGUGUGAUGAAGGUCUUUGGAUUGUAAAGCACUUUCGACCGGGACGAAACCGUAAAGCCUAAUACGCUUUGCCUUGACGGUACCGGGAGAAGAAGCACCGGCUAACUCUGUGCCAGCAGCCGCGGUAAUACAGAGGGUGCAAGCGUUGUUCGGAAUUAUUGGGCGUAAAGCGCGUGUAGGCGGCUUUGCAAGUCGGGUGUGAAAGCCCUCAGCUCAACUGAGGAAGUGCGCCCGAAACUGCAGAGCUUGAGUGCCGGAGAGGGUGGCGGAAUUCCCCAAGUAGAGGUGAAAUUCGUAGAUAUGGGGAGGAACACCGGUGGCGAANGCGGCCACCUGGACGGUAACUGACGCUGAGACGCAAAGCGUGGGUAGCAACAGGAUUAGAUACCCUGGUAGUCCCGCCGUAAACGAUGAAAACUAGGUGUCGUGGGAGUUGACCCCGC
rnacentral:rRNA from 1 species